rnacentral:lncRNA from 1 species
ACUCCUCCUCCUCCCUCUCGUUCUCUCUCUCCUUUUUUUUUUCUCUCCCGGCCUCUGUCUUUUCUCCUUUCUCUCCCGGGCUCACCAGUCACCGCGCCGCUGCCUGGAUCUCCUCAUUCCGGCCAUGCCCGGCCAAGCUGAGGCCAGCCCCAGAUUCCUCUCUCCCUCCUCUUCUAGAUCCCCAAGCUAAUUUAUACUAAUCGACACCUAUCCAUUCCGAAUUUGAAACCCUAGUUAUUGGGCUGCCAUGGCCGCCCCCGUCUCCCUCGGUCCGGCGAGGCCAACUUUGUCGUCUCCGGCGACCACGAUGCUUCUUCUUACGAGUUCUCUAGAAGCAUGCACAACUACAUCGACGAGAACUGCCACGGCUUCAUGGCACAGCUCAGGUGCCGCGGCCGUCGCCGACCACGGCGAGACCGGGUCAGGCCUACUCCUUCCCAGUUUGCUGGCAUCGGGACCGGCGGUCCGUUGUGCGCAGCCUACUGCUAAGUACUCUUAACAAGUUAAGUCCUUCUCUCUCACUGACAGCAAGCUUCUAGUGGUGUGCAUGUGCAAAGAGUUGAGUGAUUUGUGUGUGAGCAAACAAAAUAGUGAUUAAACUAGCAUAGCGACGAUGUGAUCUACUCACUCCUGUCGGAGCACGGGUCUCCGGCACCGGGGUGUUAGACAUCCCCUUUUUUGGUUCGGUGGAGGGCGAGGCGAUCGCCGACGUGACGAGAGACACGAAGUGUCGACGCGUGAGUUUAUCCAAGUUCAGGCCACCCGAAAGUGUAACACCCUACGUUCUGCUUUGUGUUGUAUUCACAAGAAUGUGUGUGGGUUCUUACAGAUUGUCCUCAGGGGUUUCCGGGGGAACUACUUGUUCUCCCAGGAGAUCUUGCUUACUCCUUGCUUCUACUAACUGGGGUUCGGACUAGAACUGGACCUAGAACCCUUUGGCCGGUGGCAUUGGUCCUCCUUUUAUAGACAAGGGAUACCACAGGUGCUGACGCAUGCAGCGCAACACGUUAGCUACACGCGUGUCAUCGCCACAGGAAUUACCCUACUGUAGAUCCAUGUUGGGCUUCAUGCAGCGCCCAAGCUACUGUGCAUCGUAGGCAAAACAGCUCUUAGGGUAGCCGCUCUAGACUUGUUGAGUAAGAUUAGCCCUACCGAUGUGACUCCUAUCGGUGCAUUAAAUGCACCACGCCCGUUGUGUGGUCUUGUCUCCACUGUUCCGUCGGCCCCACCUUCGACCCCCGAAGCCUCGGUACCCGGGAGCGCCCUGGUACCGCUGCCCGGCAAUUUGCAAGGGAGCGAACUAGUAGCUUUCCGGGUUCGCCCUUCCUGGGAAGCCGGCCUUGCGGGAUCUCAUCAAUUGCGACCCACGCGUCCCGUGCCAGUGGGGCCUCGUGGGCCACUGGUACGACAGUAGCCCUCGGGUGUGGGCCGGCAACCUUGAGCUCCCGGGCAGUAUCGUCCUCGGUCGGUUGCCGGGCUACGCCCUUCUGUCGUGUGGGUCCCCAGACCAAGCGGAUGCACGACCACUGGCCCCACUAUUCCUUUGCGAGCAGGGAGUUAUGGCCACGUCGCGCAUGCUGUCUUGAUUCCUUUGAAUCUUUAGGGCGCUUGAUUACCGAUCGUGUGUGUGUGUGGGGGGGGGGGGGGACGCCCGUUGCAAUCCCGCCUGCCGGAUAUAAAUACCCAGGGGCGGCAUCACAAGGACUCCCCUCCGCCACAGCCCUUGCCAUUGCCUCCCCCGAGCCCCCUUGCGCUCCAACUCCUGAAAAGCCUCCCACCUUUCUCCUCCCUCCCUCCACCGUUGGCACCCAAAGGCCCAGCACGUCCCAAGGGCACUAGCAGCAAGGGAGAGAAGAGCGGCAAGAAGGAAAUGUCGGAGCGAGAGCGCAGAGACAAGGAGAAGAGGGCUCAGUUCGCGUUCUUCAAGCCCGGCUACAACGGCGAGGCUGUGGAGAAGCUGCGCUUAGCGGUGGCCACCAAGCACAAUGAGCACGACCCGACGCGCAUCCUGCCCGUCGGGUCGGAUCCCGGCGAGCACUACUACCAGGUGUUCAUGAGGUUCAUCCUCUCCGGGUUCGUGCCGCGCACUCCCUUUUCCUCCACGCUAUCCUCUCUGCGUACCGCUUGCAGCUGGCGCAGAUUCAUCCCACCUCCUUCUUCAAGCUGGCCAUCUUCCAGUACCUCUGCGAGGCGUUCGUGGGGGUGAUGCCGUCCGUGGCGUUCUUCCGCCACUACUACUAUCCUCGCGUCGAGAAGGGCGAGGCAAUGUCUUCCGGGGUCUCGUUCCGGUUCCGGGACGGGCUCAAAUCGGAGUUCAUCGUCACGGAGGACCGGAAGAUCGAGGCGGAGUGGUGCACAGACUGGUGCUGGCUCUACAUCGAGGAGCACGACGAGGCCUACACCAAGCCCACCUCGUUGCCGAAGAAGUCCCGCGACUGGCGGGACCGUGACGCCAGGGACGCCAAACUCGUGCCGAUCUGUGACAAGAUUGUUGCGCUGCGGCGUGCGGGGCUCACGGAUCUGGACGUGGCCCAGAGCUUCAACGCGAGGCGCAUCGCUCCGCUGCAGCACCGGACUCACCCGGUCUGGACCUACUCGGGGGAAGACGACCGGAUGAGGCUGCAGUGAGGCGAGCUGACGACGGAGCAGAUCCGCACGUGGCUCAGGGGGAUCACCAGCGACAACUCCCCCUUCACCGGGCUUCCUUCGGGUGUGAUCGCGCUCCAUGCGAACGUCGCCAACCCGGGAGCCAGCAACUACGCACCCUACAACGAGUGGGGCAUCAUGGCGGGGACCCCGUCAAGUAGCCCUCCCCCGCGACCAAGGGCCCAGACCGGGAAGCAACCGAUGGCCGAGAGCAAGGAGGAGGAGGAGGAUGACUCGGACGGGGAUUCCGAGGGGCCGACGGGCGUCUCCGCCGGCCACGACGCCUCCCGCGAGGUCGCCGACACCUCCAGGGACGAGGGGUCCCGGGGUGCCAACAGCCCUGCGGAAGGGGACAACGACGACGACGUCGUGCCCCUGUCCCGCCUGCCCGCCGUGCAAGGGAGCCAGCGCGGGGGCAGCCCACCGGGCCGGGGCUAAUUACCCGGCGUAGUGGGGGGUUCGGGCAGUAGCGGGAGCGCUCUGCCAGCACGGAAGGCGCUUCCCGCUGGGGGAAUCUUCACCGCCCGCAAGCUGGUGUUGAACCCAGCGAGGUAAGUUCUCUUCCUUAAACCAUAAUUCUUGUUUUUCCUGGUAGCACUUCGAUGAAUAACCCUUCUUGCCUCAGGCCGGCGGGGAAGAGAGGACCGGUGAGCUCCCCACCGGCGACCUUGAGCAAAAAGCCACGCACGGCCCCCGGUACGAGUGGGGGAAGCCCCCAGGUCGGGACGGGGGCGCGGCGACGGCGGCAGCAGCGGGUGUGGGCGAGGCCGCCCAGACCACAAGCAAGCCGGCGGUCUUGGGAGCAGGUGCGCCCGGCAACCUGAUCGGGUACAGUUGCUCUUUCUUUUCCUUUCAAGCACCUAACACUUUUUCUGCUUUCUCAUCCAGGACCAGGAAGCGUUGCCGGGGCCGACCCGGCAACGAUCGACGACGGCCGCCAAGAGGCGUCCGACGCAGGGGGAGGGGACACUGCGCAAGGUACAACAGGCCCGCCACAGCAUCCCCCCCGUCGCUUCUUUAUGUGUUGUACUUCACUUCUUCUUAACAGUUCUCCUUGCAGCCCCUCCUGCCGCUGCAUGAGCGGAGGCCGCAGAACUCACCCCAGCGGGCACCGUGACCGACACGGAAACCACCCCUGAGGUGACGGUGGAGCAACCCCCCACCGGACAGAGCGGGGACGGAGGGGGCUCUCCUGACAUCCAAGCCGCCGACCCGGUGUUAAUCGAGGAGGCAGCGGCCACCGGGUCUGAGCCCCUCAAUCACACCGCGACGGAGGCCAGCCGCCGCCCAGCCCCCAGGCAGGGGCAAGGGACGAGCUCGCGGCCGGUGGAAGCGGGAGGGUGCGGUCACCUUUGCCGCCACCCGAGGAGGUGGUGCGGUCACAAAUGGUGGCCGCAGGUGCCUACUCGAGUUCCGGGGCGAUCGCGGGCGCCGGCUGGGGUCUGCUGAACUGGGACCCUAGCAUCUUCGACCAGGGGCACGAGAUCAUAGAGGGCAUCAAGUGGCAGCAGCUGGGAUUCGUCAGCUGCUACAACAGGGUGCGCCAACAGCUCUCGGCAGCCCAGGGUCGGCUAGACGGCGCACGGGAGGAGGUUGAGGAGCGUCGGCAGGAGCUGGCGCGCCUCCAGGAGGAGAUCUGGGUGGCGCAGCUAGCCCGAGCCGAGGCAUUCGAGCCCUCGGUCCCGGAAGCACACGCCCAGCGCCAGCUACAAGAGCUGCGUGUGGAGCACCAGCAGGUGCUCGAGUCGCUGGAGGCGGCGCGCCUUCGCGUCGAGGGGGAGCACCAGGAAGCACUAAGGGGCUUCCAGGAGCGCCUCGAUGAGAAAAGUGGCCUCAUCUCUAGCUACUCCUCCGAGAUCCAGCAGCUGUGGCAGCAACUCGGGGAGCAGGCCAUGGCAGCCCAGGCUGUGGCGACGCGAGCCGCGUCCCGGGAGAAGGAGUUGCAGGAGUAGUUCCAAACCCAGGAACGCGAGUUCCAGGAGCAGCUCAAGGCCACGACCGACGCCAACGCAGCCCUGAAGGGCGAGCUGGACGUCGCGAGGGGCGAUCUUCGACAGCUUGACGAGGAAAACUCGGAGAAGACAUCGAAGAUCUCUGGGCUGAAGGACGAGCUCUGGAGCCAGAAGGCGGAGACCGAGCUCGCCUGCCGCAACUAUGCGAAGCUCGGGAGCCAGCGCUAAGAGAGCACGGCCCUGCUCCGCAAGUUGGCGGAGGUGGGGAACGAGUCGCUGGCAAAGCGGGGGGUACCCCCGGUAGCCAUCGACGGCAGCGACGUCAGCACCCUCAUCCCCUUCUUCGUGGAGUUCGUGGGGAGGCUGACAGCCGUGGAGGACCUUAUCCGUAGCUUCGGGGACCGGCAAAUGUGUGUCGCCGCAUCUCAGGUUGCCGGCGCCAUCCUGCCGAGGGUCCACCAAGCCUUCCCGGAGUUCCCCUUCGAGACCAUCUUCAACGACUGGUUGCCGGAGGAGAACAAGGAGGAGCACGCCAAUGCCGUCAGACGCUUCGUCGAGGAGAGGGUUGCGCGGAUGACGGGGCAGGCUGGUGCUGGUGACGAUGAGGAGGAGGUCGCCGUCGAGGAGACGCCCGCUGUCGAGUCCGCCGCCCCGGAGGCACCCCCUGCGUAGCCGUUCCUUGUAGUUUUCUUCUUCUUUUUGUACUCCUGCAACUGGCACAAGGCGCCUUAUUUCGUGUUAGCCUUUUGCCAUUCUGAAUGUCAUCCGUGAACUCAUUCGUUUGAAUUUUAUUAUAUCCAAUGCUAUUUUACUUGCUUUUUCGCCUAAGACUAGCUUGCCGAGGAAGGGCUCUGUCCUUCCCGUGCUUUAACCUUGCGUAUCCGGGGACUCGCCAACUACGUGCUUGGCCAGACUAGGGACCCGGGACGGACCCGCGGUGCCGACCUAGGGCCAAAUUGUAGCGGCUAGUCACUCCUCGUGUGGGUUAACUACCUGUAACAACCCGAGAGCAACACUUUACAUUUAAGCCCUUGUUGGACCUGUUUGUAAUUGAAUUAAUGUUGCAUAACAUUUUACAUUUGCAUCCAUGCCAUGUCAUCCCUUCUUUGCUUCGCAUAAUUUGAAAAUUACAUUUUUAACUUGUGGUUUGAAAUCUUGUUGUUUGAUUUUUCUAGAAGAUUCAAAUAUGAAUCGUCCUUCCUUCUUUGAGUUUAAAUUCCUUUUCCGAUAUUUUACAAAUGAUAUUCAAAUGGGUUUUGUUUUUAAACCUUUGCCCCAUUUGAAUAUUUCCCAAAUAGUAGUACCAUAUUUGAAUUCUCCUACUUCUCAGCUUUUCAAAAUGGUAUUUGAAUUUUGAAUCAAAAGCUAUUUGCAAAAGAGAAAACAGAAAACAGAAAAAGGAAAAAGGAAAAAGAAAAAAAAUACUUACCUCAGGCCCGAGCCGGCCCAGCAGCCGCCUCGGCCCAUUCUCCCGCGCGCCCCGCAGCCCAGCUCGGCCCAACAGCCCGGCGCACCGCCCCGCAUAGCGCUUUUCCUCAGCGAAGGCGCCUUCCGCGAAGUACGCCACCUCUCACAGAGUCUUCUUCCUCCUCCGGCCUCCCUCUGCUUUUCCCUUGUUCUGCACUCAGGUAGCGCCACGUCCUCCCUUUUGACGCGACGGCCUCUGCUGCGCCUCCUAUUUGAGCCGCUCCGCGCCCUCCUCUCAGCCCUAGCGCAGGGAAAGCCCUAGACGGACUUUCCUCCCUCUCUUUCUGUUCGUCGCCGCCAUCUUCUUCCUGGCCGCGGGCACUUUCACGUCAUGCCGCCGUUCCAGCCCGAACCAAGAAGAACCGCGCGCGUCACCUUGUUCGCCCGAAGCUGCUCUUCGUCUGGACGCAAGGAAUCGGAAGGGGAUCGACUACGUGAGGGCGCAUCGACCCCAACUCUCCCUUCGACCGCCACCACUCUCCGACGAAAUUCUGGCGAGGAGAGCCUCCCCUCGGACCAUCUUGUGCACGGUGAGCUCCGCCUCGUCGUUGCGCAUCUGGCGCUCCCUCUCUCCCUCUUUUUGGUUCCCUGUAACACGAGAAUGACGGAGACCACACCCUGGACGCCGCCGGUGAGCUUCUGCUCCAUGCCGCGCGCGCGUGCCAGAGGGAGUCGUGCGCUAGCUAUCGUGCUAGCUUGCCCUACGUGAAGCGCCGGAACAAAAGGCCAUGCCUUUGCACGCUUUGCCGUUCGUUUGGUUCGCCGGCGUCGUGCCGUUCCAUGGCCAUCGUGGGCGAGCCCAUGGACCGGCCUGUGGGCUUUGUUCUUAAUGAACGAAGCGGCUGGAUCUACAAGAUCCGUGUCUUACCACAGUGGCGCUCCCUUUGCCAGCGCGCCUCGACGCGGGUUCGAUUCCUCCCCGGUGCGGAAUAAAACCCCCAAUUUUUGGAGUUUCACCGGCCACUGACAUGUCAGUUGCCUGGUGCACCGCUGCACCCGGUGGACUGAGUCCAUGCGCCGGAUCCGCGUGGUUUUUUUCCUUUUGGUUUUUGUUUAAUUGCAUGAAAUUGUUUUAUCUUGUUUAAAUCCUAGUAAAUGCAUGCUAAAUCCAAUUUGGGCAAACCAUAUAUGUUUUGAAAUCAGAAAAAUGUAAGGAAUUUAACUGUGCUGUUAGUUUUUCAUUUUGACGUUUUGAAUUUCAAAUCUGUCCCAGAUUUGAAAUUCAAACGUAUGAACUUGUUUAGUCUCUAAUUUAAAACUAGUAGCUCAUCUGUAUUAAAGUAAACAUCAAAGUUGAUCCUUGUAACUUGUAGAACAUAGUAGCAUACUUGGUUAGGCCAUUUGAGUCCUUUAAAGCUGCUGUUGACUUUAAUUAAGUCACCUAAUGAUUAACUUUGAUGCUAAUGGAAUCAAUUCGUUUGCAUAUUGUUGCAUCAUGAUGUCACAUGUCAUUUCAUGUCGUAUUGUGCAUCGCACCUAUUGAUUGUUACCUUAUUUGUGUAUUCGGUGUUUUGGUUCUUUACGAUAGCGACUCCGACUUACUCCGUCGACGAUCCGAGUUCCCACACUUCUUCGGACCCCCUCUCUCGGUGCCCAGCGACCGAGGAUCCAGGCAAGCAGCCAUUCCUUGAACAUGUUGUUUAUACCCAAUGUCUCUUUCUCAUUCUUGCACUAAGUUACGUUCUCAGUUCUUGUCACGAUGCCUCUAGGAUUGCAUAGCUUUAGUCAGCUCUACUCAAAUGCCUGUUGUCUUGUUCCUUAUCCUAUGACCAUGUCACAUGUUUGUUCUUCUGCCCUAGUUGGUCAUUAGAAGUUUUUCUUAGCUUGCUAGUCUAGUGUCCUUACUUGGGGUUAUACAAUUGCUACAUCCACAUGCUACUUUCUGUAUUUAAUUGCAAUUAUUAAACUGUGACAUGUUAUAUUACCUGCACAAGGCAACGAUGGGAGGCUGUGCUAACGCAUUGGUUUUUUGUUCCAUUGGCGCCGACCUAAGGACCGAGUUCUCGUUUUCGCCGACUGAAGAAACUUCGUGCUAACCGCUCGUGGGAGAAUAUAUGGGUUCCCCCUCAGCUUAGUACUCGUUUCAUAGCUCUUCCAGGGGCCACAUAGUUCGGGCAUUCCAUUUGGCAUAUCGCAUAUACACUGGUGUUGUGUUGGAGACUUGUUGGUAACCUUGCAUUCAUAUAGGAUUGCUGCACUAGUCUGGAGUGGUCAUCCUGCGGGCCCUAAACCACUACCAGCUGUCCUCGCAACUCUUGAGUCCGUACGAUGCUUCGGCCGGGCUCUCGUUUUGGAUUAGACUCAGUUGGGUGGUCCUCUGAAUUAGUUGUGGGGCUUGAAAACGUCGUGUCGCCCAAUCCUGCCGACACACGUCUUUGUGUGUUCCUACUCGAGUGGCAACAAGGGUUGGAUGAACAUGUACGGGGAAAUUGGCACACCCUGUAGGGAUAAAUCUUUUCGGAAAUCCGUGUCUGCGGUUAUGGACGACUUGGUUGGUCAUUACUUGAUCAUAGAGAACUUAAUCUUUUAAUCAACUUAAUCUCAUAAACUUGAGUAGUAAUUAGCCUUAAUCAUGGAUAUGCUUAAAACUGCUUAAGUGUGAGUGUCUUUGGAUCAUUUCCUCACAAGGGGUUGAGGGGGUAAUAAGAUGUUGCGUUUAUUUGGUGUUAGUUAUUAGAAGAUCACCUCACUUAGUAGACGCUUCUUAUCCUCUACUUAGACGAUGUCAUUAGUGUGUCUCUCUAGAGAUAUUGCUGUUGCAUAACCCCACCAUAUUAUCCAUCCUUUGAGACUUGUUGCAUAUCUAGUUUAGAUCUCCUGUAAGUCUUGCGAGUACCUUGUACUCAGUUGCUUUGCAACGUUGUUUUCUCCAGAGUUUCCAGAGGAGCAGGUGAGUGGUUACUUCGUGGAGUUCGACGACGACAGCUUCGACGUUUAGCCAGCAGAUUCCAGAGCAGGGUUCUGUGAACUUGUGGCGGGCUCUCCUUUUAGUUUCAGCCUCUUAUGCAAGAAUUGUAACUUGUCCGUACUCGGACCUAACUUGCUUCCGCUGGUGUAAUGAUGAUUGUGGACAUGUGUCCGUGAGUUGUAAUAACUUGGUAUUUCGCUCCUUGUAUGAGCUUGGCUUAAUCUUGAGUGUUAGAGUGAUGUAAUGUUAUCAUUUUUGUUCCAACCUGCGGUGGACACAUUGCGUGUAUGUUGUGAAGUGUUCAUCGUAGGGAGGCACUGGUACUUAAUUUAUGCGCGAGUUAGCAUUUGGGGCUAAAUUGCAUAAAUUCGGUCCCGGAGUCUCACACUACCCCAGCGCGCACGCCUCCGGGACGGACCUGCGAGCCACGUGUGGGGGCUGUCCUCCCCCCGCAAGCGUCCUUCCCACGCUUCGG